rnacentral:rRNA from 1 species
AGAAUCAACGCUGGCGGCGUGCCUAACACAUGCAAGUCGAACGAGAAAGUGGAGCAAUCCAUGAGUAAAGUGGCGCACGGGUGAGUAACACGUGACUAACCUACCUUUUAGUGGGGGAUAACCUAGGGAAACCUGGGCUAAUACCGCAUAAUACCUACGGGUUAAAGCAGCAAUGCGCUGAAAGAGGGGGUCGCGGCCGAUUAGCUAGUUGGCGGGGUAAUGGCCCACCAAGGCAGUGAUCGGUAUCCGGCCUGAGAGGGCGCACGGACACACUGGAACUGAAACACGGUCCAGACUCCUACGGGAGGCAGCAGUGGGGAAUUUUGCGCAAUGGGGGAAACCCUGACGCAGCAACGCCGCGUGGAGGAUGAAGUCCCUUGGGACGUAAACUCCUUUCGAUCGGGACGAUAAUGACGGUACCGGAAGAAGAAGCCCCGGCUAACUUCGCGCCAGCAGCCGC